CCUACGGGUGGCAGCAGUGGGGAAUAUUGCACAAUGGGCGAAAGCCUGAUGCAGCAACGCCGCGUGAAGGAAGACGGGUUUCGGCUCGUAAACUUCUAUCAACAGGGACGAAAGAAAUGACGGUACCUGCAUAAGAAGCCCCGGCUAACUACGUGCCAGCAGCCGCGGUAAUACGUCGGGGGCAAGCGUUAUCCGGAUUUACUGGGUGUAAAGGGAGCGUAGGUGGCAUGGUAAGCCAGAAGUGAAAAUCCAGGGCUCAACUCUGUGGAUUGCUUUUGAAACUAUCAAGCUAGAGUGCUGGAGGGGUAAGCGGAAUUCCUAGUGUAGCGGUGAAAUGCGUAGAUAUUAGGAGGAACACCGGUGGCGAAGGCGGCUUACUGGACAGAAACUGACACUGAGGCUCGAAAGCGUGGGGAGCAAACAGGAUUAGAUACCCCAGUAGUC
rnacentral:rRNA from 1 species